GCACAAGCAGCGGAGCAUGUGGUUUAAUUCGAAGCAACGCGAAGAACCUUACCAAGGCUUGACAUCCUACUAAACUCAUGGAAACAUGAGGUGCCUUCGGGCAAGUAGAGACAGGUGGUGCAUGGUUGUCGUCAGCUCGUGUCGUGAGAUGUUGGGUUAAGUCCCGCAACGAGCGCAACCCUUAUUGCUAGUUACCAGCGGGUAAAGCCGGGAACUCUAGUGAGACCGCCGGGGAUAACUCGGAGGAAGGUGGGGACGACGUCAAAUCAUCAUGCCCCUUAUGUCUUGGGCUACACACGUGCUACAAUGGCCACUACAGAGGGCAGCAAGGCCGUAAGGCAGAGCGAAUCUCAGAAAAGUGGUCCCAGUUCGGAUUGUGGGCUGCAACCCGCCCACAUGAAGUCGGAGUUGCUAGUAAUCGCGAAUCAGCAUGUCGCGGUGAAUACGUUCCCGGGCCUUGUACACACCGCCCGUCACACCAUGGGAGUUGGGAGCGCCCGAAGUCGGUAUCCUAACCGUAAGGAGGGAGCCGCCGAAGGUGAAAUCAAUAACUGGGGUG
rnacentral:rRNA from 1 species